UCAGUGGUUUUGAAUGGAUCAUUAAGGGAUGUCAGAGUUGUUUUUCUGGGGGACUUGCCUAAAGACUGAUUAGGUAACCUUCUCGAGGUCAUCUAUAGCCCUGGGGCUGUAUAAAUGUUCCCCUCCUACAAAUGCAGAAGGCUGUCUUCUCUUCCUUAAAGCCACAGGCAAUGGAAGUGUUGGAAUUUCCCGAAAGAAUGGCUGACCGUAACAUCAUAGUUUCCUUCCCCAGCCCCUGGUCAUCUUGUUCUGCAACCGGUUCCAUUAAUUUGCCAGAGCAGCUUUCAGAACUCCGGGAAACCCAUCUACUGGUUUGUUCAAGGAUGGGAUAAAGGAUA